UUUAUCAAAAUGGAAUCACAUAGGAUAUGCUCUUUUUUUUUUUUUUUUUUGGUCUGGCACCUUGCUGCAUGUAUCAAUAGUCCUCAUUUUUUUUUUUUUUGCUGAGUAGUAUUCUGUGGAUAUGACAUACAAUGUCUAUUCAUUUAUCAGUUACGGGAUAUUGGGCUUGUUUCCAGUUUGAACUAAUAGAAAUAAAGCUGCUAUGAACAUUUGUGUAGUAGAAGUCUUUCUGCGGGCACAUGCUUCCAAUGGUCUUGAAUAAAUAUCUCGAAGUGGGAUGCCUAGGUCAUAUAUGUUUAACUUUUAAAGUGGUUGUAUCAGUUUACAUUUCCACCAGCAGUGUGAAGAGACUCAGAUUCUGCCUAGACUUGCCAACACAUGGUAUGAUCAGUUUUUGUCGUGUUUUUAAAAACUUUAACUAUCCUAAUAGGUGUGUAGUGGUAUUUCAUUAUAGUGUUAAUCUGUAUUUCCCUAAUGACUAAAAGAGGCUGAGCAUCUUUACAUGUGCUUGUCAUCUAUAUAUUUUAAGUGUCUGUUCAUGUUAGUUUUUUUGUUGUUGUUCAUUUCAGUAUCUUUUCAAAAUCUUUUUUCCAUUUUUGGGAGUGCUUUCUUCUUAUUGAGUUUUGAGAGAUCUUUUACUAUUCUGGAUUCAGGCCCUUUAUCAGAUUUGUGAUUUGAAAAUAACAUUUCCCAGACUGUCACUUGGCCUUUCAUUCUCCUAAGAGUAUCUCUUGAAGAACAGAAGUUCCUAAUUUUGAUGAAGUCUAAAUUAUAAUUUUUAAAAAUGUGGAUUGCUCUUUGCCUAAACCAAGGUCACAGUUUCUCCUAUGUUUUCUUCUAGGGCUUCUAUAGUUUUAGGUUUUAUAUUCAGAUAUAUGAUCCACUUUGAGUUAAUUUUUACAUAUGGUGUGAGAUAUGGUUCAAAGUUUAUAUUCUGAAUAUAUGAAUAUUGGAUUGUUACAGAACCAUUUGUUGCAAAGGCUGUCCUUUUCUCACUGCAUUAUCUUUGCAUGUUUGUGGAAAACCAUGGAACUGUCUUUGCAUGUGAGUAGAAAAUUAAUUGGCUGCCUAUGCAUGGAUCUAUUUCUGGACUCUAUUCCAUUCCACUGAUUUAUUUAACUGUUGUCCAUCUUACUACACUACCCUUGUUACUAUAGCUUCAUUAAGUCUUGAAGUCAGGUAGAAUAAGUUCUCUAACUUUGUCCUUUUUUUUCCAAAGUUAUUUUGGAUGCUGUAUGUCCUCUGUGUUUCUAUAGGAAUUUCAGAAUAAUCUCGUCAAUAUCUACAAAAAAACCCCUGCUGGGAUUCUGAUUGUGGUUUCUUUGAAUCAACAGAUCAAUUCGGUGAGAAUUGGCAUCUUAAGUAUAUUGAGUUUUCGAAUUCAUUAACAUGGUAUAUCUUUCCAUUAAUUUAGGUCUCUGAUUUCUCACAGUUUGCAUUCAGUAGACAGUUCUUGCACACCUUUAGUCAGAUACAUCGAUAGGUAUUUCAUAUAUACAUAUAUUUUUCUGAGACAGAGUCUCACUCUAUUGCCCAGGCUGGAGUGUAGCAGCAUGAUCUUGGCUCACUGCAACCUCCGAAACCUGGGUUCAAGCGAUUCUCCCACCUCAGCCUCCCAAGUAGGUGGGAUCACAGGCAUGCGUCACCACACCCAGCUACUCCUUGUAUUUUUAGUAGAGAUGGGGUUUUGCCAUGUUGGCAGUAUUUCAUAUUUUUGAUGAUAUCAUAAAUGGCAUUUAAAAUUUUUAAAUUCUGAUUGUUGCUAGUAUAUAGGAAUAUAAUUAUUUUUAAUUAGUCUUAUAUUCUUCAAAUUUGCUAAACUCACGUAUUAGUUCUAGCAGCUUUUUUGUAGAUUUCAUUGGAUUUUCAGCACAGAUGAUCAUGUUAUCUGCAAAUUUUACUACUCCUUUUCCAAUGGAUGCCUUUAUUGCUUUUUCUUACCUUAUUGUACUUGUUUGAACCCCAGUACAAUGCUAAACAGAAGUGGUAAGAGUAGACAUCCUUGCUAGUUUCCUUAGGGGAUAUGCUUUCAGUUUUUCACCAUGAAGUAUGAUGUUAUAUGUAGGCUUUUCAUAGAUGCUCAUUAGUAGAUUUAAGAAGUUCCCUUCUAUUCUGUUUGCUGAGCAUUUUUAAAAUCAAGAAUCAGUAUUGGAUUUUGUCAAAUGCUUUUUCUGCAUCUAUUGAGAUGAUCAUAUGAUUUUCCUUCUUUCUGCUUCACUCACUCUCAGACUGCAGUGCAGUGGCACAAUGAUAACUCACUGUCACCUCCAAUUCCUGGGCUCAAGUGAUCCUCCUGCCUCAGCCUCCCGAGUAGCUAGACCUAGAGGUACCCACCACCACACCUGGCUAAUUUUAAAAUUUCUUUGUAGAGACACGGUCUUGCUAUGUUGCCCAGGUUGGUCUCAAACUCCUGGGCUCAAGCGACUCUCCCACUUUAGCUUCCCAAAGUGGUCAGUUUGAGGUCAUAUCCAGAAUAUAAAAAGAUCUCUUAAAACUCAAAAUCCAAAAAAUGGAAAAAAGAUCUUAAAAGAUAUUGAAAUAAACAAAAAAAUAUUGAUGUGAACGAACACUUAAAAGAAAAUAUGUAAGUGACAAAUAAGCAUACAUAAAGAUGCUCAACCUCCUGAGUCAUUAGGGAAAUGCAGAUUAAAAUCAUAAUGAGAUACCACUACACACCUAUUAGGAUGGCUAAAGUUUAAAGAAACAUAACAAAAACAACAACAACAAAAACUGACUAUCAUGUCUGGGAUUACAGGCAAGAGCCACUGUGCCUGGCCUGAUUUUUCUUUUUUUGCUCUGUUAAUAUGGUGAAUUAUACAGAUUAGUUUUCAAAUGUCAAACCAAUCUUGCAUUCCUGGAAUAACCCCCCGUUGGUCAUAAUGUAUUAUCUUUUUUGUACAUAUUUGGAUUCCAUUUGCUAAAAAGUUAUUUAGAAUUUUUGCAUCUAUGUUUAUGAGGGAUAUUAAUUUGUAAUUUUCUUUUUCUUAUAAUAACUUUGCCUGGUUUUGGCAUCAGGGUAAUGCUAGCCUUGUAGAAUGUUUGGGGUAAUAUUUUCUAUUCUUCAGUUUUCUGUCAGAGUUUCUGUAGACUUGGUAUUACUUUUUCCUUAAAUACUUGGUAGAAUUCACCACGAAGCCAGUUGCCUGGGCUCUAUAGUGUAAGAGCCUUAAAACAGUAUAAUUCCAUUUCUCCCUGCUAGCCUUAGUGCUGUUGUUACACAUUUUACUUUUACAUAUGAUACAAACAUUGGUAUUAUUUUUGCUUGAAAAACUCAAUGAUUACAGAGGUUAGAAUAUUAAGAAAAAAAAUCCUGUGUGUAUUCAUGUAGUUACCAUUUAUGAUGAUCUUUAUCAUUUAGUUCUUUGUGUAGAUCCAGGUUUCCACUUGGUAUCUGAUAUGGUUUGGAUCUAUGUCCUUGCCCAAAUCUCAUAUUGAAAUGUAAUCACCAAUACUGGAGGUGGGGCCUGGUGGGAGGUGACUGGAUCAUGGGGGCAGUUUCUAACAGUUUAGCACCGUCCCCCUGGUGCUGUUCUCAUGAUAGAGUUCUUGUGAGAUCCGGUGGUUGAAAAGUGCGUAGCCCCUCUCUCUUCCUCCUGCUCUGGCCAUAUGUCUGCUCCCACUUUGCCUUCUGCCAUGAUUUACAGUUUCCUGAGGCCUCCGCAGAAGCUGAGCAGUUGCCACCAUCAUGUUUCCUGUACAGCCCACUGAACUGUGAGCCCAAUUAAACCUCUCUGCUUUAGAAAUUAUCCAGUCUCAGGUAUUUUUUUUACAGCAGUAUGAGAACUAAUACUGCAUCAUUUUCUUUCUUCUUGAAGGGUUUCCCUUUAACAUUUCUUGUAAUGCAGGUUUGUUGGUGAUGAAUUCUUUUAUUGUUUGUAUGUCUGAAAAAAUCUUUAUGUCUCACCUUUUUUUAAAAAAUAUAUUUUGCUGGGUAUGGAAUUCUAGUCUGAAAGUUUUUUCUUCCUUUCAGUAACUUAAAAAUUUCAUUCCACUGUCUUCUACCUUACUUUAUACAUUUUUUUGAGAAAUCUGCUGUCAACUUUAUAUUUGUUAUUUUAUACAUAAUGUUUCUUUUCCCCCUUUGGUUGCUGUUUUCCCUUUAUCACUCAUUUUAAACAAUUUGAUCGUAAGAUCCCUUGGUGUAGUUUUUUCCCCAUGUAUCUUUCUUUGAGGGUUUGUGAAAUCUGAAAACUGUGGGUUCACAGUUUUCAUGAAAUUUGGAAAAUUUUCAGCCUGCCUUCCUUCCCUUCCUUCCCUUCCCUUCCUUCCUUCCUUCCUUCCUUCCUUCCUUCCUUCCUU
rnacentral:lncRNA from 10 species